rnacentral:rRNA from 1 species
UAAUUUAAAAUCAAAUCUGCUCAAUGAAUAAAUUUAAAUAGCUGCAGUAUUUAUGACUGUACAAAGGUAGCAUAAUCAUUUGUCUUUUUAUUGAAGUCUGGAAUGAAUGAUUUAAUGAAAAAAAAACUGUCUCAAAUUAAAAUAUUGAAUUUAAUUUUAAGUUAAAAUUCUUAAAUUUUAUUAAAAGACGAGAAGACCCUAUAGAAUUUAAUUUAAAUUUAAUUUAUUUAAAAAUAUUUAAAUUAAAUUAGAAUUUUGUUGGGGUGACAGUAAAAUUUAAAUAAUUUUUAUAAUUAUUUAUCAUUUAUAAAUGAAUUAAUUAUCCAAAAUUUUUGAAAUUAAAAUAAAUUACCUUAGGGAUAACAGCGUUAUUUUUUUUGAGAGUUCUUAUUGAUAAAAAAGUUUGCGACCUCGAUGUUGAAUUAAGAAUAAUUAUUUAUGAAGAAAUAAAUUUAUUAAGUCUGUUCGACUUUUAAAA